rnacentral:rRNA from 1 species
GAAUCAAAACUUUCAACAACGGAUCUCUUGGUUCUGGCAUCGAUGAAGAACGCAGCGAAAUGCGAUAAGUAAUGUGAAUUGCAGAAUUCAGUGAAUCAUCGAAUCUUUGAACGCACAUUGCGCCCGCCAGUAUUCUGGCGGGCAUGCCUGUUCGAGCGUCAUU